AGUGAAAUUGCUGGGUUGUAUGGUAAAUGUAUGUUUAACUUUAAAGACACUGUCAAACUGCUUUCCAGAGUUGCUGUACCAUUUUGAAUUCUCAGAAGCAAU
rnacentral:pre_miRNA from 1 species